GGGGUUGUGGCUCAGUGGUAGAGUGCUCACCUAGCAUGUGUGAGGCCCUGGAUUCAAUCCUUAGCACCACA
rnacentral:tRNA from 1 species